ACCUUCUCAUGAGCUCCUCUCAAUCGCAUCCAUGAUUCUGUACGGAUUCGCACGAGAAGCAGAGCCAGUGCACAGAUCAAAACAGGCUCGCCCUACAUGCUUAUGGGUGUUGCCCAUGUCUGCUGUGCAACAAAU
ensembl:snoRNA SNORA75 Small nucleolar RNA SNORA75